UACGUAGGGUGCGAGCGUUGUCCGGAAUUAUUGGGCGUAAAGCGCGCGCAGGUGGUUUCUUAAGUCUGAUGUGAAAGUCCACGGCUCAACCGUGGAGGGUCAUUGGAAACUGGGAGACUUGAGUGCAGAAGAGGAUCGCGGAAUUCCCGGUGUAGAGGUGAAAUUCGUAGAUAUCGGGAGGAACACCAGUGGCGAAGGCGGCGAUCUGGGAAGAUACUGACGCUGCGGUGCGAAAGCGUGGGGAGCAAACAGG
rnacentral:rRNA from 1 species